AUUAGCCCUCUUAUGCGGAGAUCCUGGUGAAGGCAGUAGAGGAACGUCAGUUGGUGGCAGCCCGUUCUUCCGAGCAGAACCGGGGGGACAGGAGCGCAGUUAGAGGAUUCCACCAGAGCACCUAACAUCAUCCUGCCAUGCGUUAAAAGCUGCACAGCUGCACCACCCAUGCAGACGGAAGCAUCCCGUGCUGACGGCCUGCAGCUGUGCGUGUCCGGGGUCGACGUCCCGCCCACCCCAUCACCGACCGCUAAUUACGACCCGCCGCGUGUAGCGGAACUGCUCCUGCUGCAUGCACGAUCUUC